rnacentral:lncRNA from 1 species
CUGAGGUGGUCCAAGCAAACAACAAAUUGAAGUCAAACAAUUGAAGAAUGACAAGUGUCUAGGUUAGAAUGGAGCAACAGUAGCUUUCCAACAGGAAGGUGACACAUGCAUGAGGGGGUUAGAAUUUUCUGACAAUCUUUCAAAUCAAGCUCCAAGGGUUCAACAAAUUAUUUCAAGUGUGUUAGUUCCUAGUAGGCACA